rnacentral:rRNA from 2 species
CAGCCGCCGCGGUAACACCAGCUCCUCGAGUGGUGGGGAUGAUUAUUUGGUCUAAAGCGUCCGUAGCCGGCCUUGUAAGUUUCCCGUUAAAUCCAACGUCUUAAGCGUUGGGCUGCGGGAAAUACUGCUAGGCUAGAGAGUGGGAGAGGUUAACGGUAUUCUGGGGGUAGGGGCGAAAUCCUUUGAUCCCCGGAGGACCACCAGUGGCGAAGGCUGCUUACUAGAACACGCCUGACGGUCAGGGACGAAAGCUGGGGUAGCGAACCGGAUUAGAUACCCGGGUAGUCCCAGCCGUAAACGAUGCAUGCUAGGUGUUGGGUUGGCCAUGAGCCGCCUCAGUGCCGCAGGGAAGCCGAUAAGCAUGCCGCCUGGGGAGUACGGCCGCAAGGCUGAAACUUAAAGGAAUUGGCGGGGGAGCAC